CCCUUAGAUGUCCUGGGCCGCACGCGCGCCACACUGAACGGAUCAGCGCGUUUUCCCUUCCCGAGAGGGACGGGUAACCUGCUGAACCCCGUUCGUGGUAGGGAUCGGGGCUUGCAAUUAUUCCCCGUGAACCAGGAAUGCCCAGUAAGUGCAAGUCAUAAGCUUGCGUUGAUUACGUCCCUGCCCUUUGUACACACCGCCCGUCGCUACUACCGAUUGAACGUUUUAGUGAGGUACUCGGACUGAGCCUCAGAAGAUUCACGUCUUUUGUGCUGCUCGGGAAGAUUCCCAAACUUGAGCGUUUAGAGGAAGUAAAAGUCGUAACA
rnacentral:rRNA from 1 species